AUGGAGGUUGAAGGCUUCAUUCAUCAAGUUUCUGAAAUAAAAGAAUCAGCCUCAAAAAAAAGAUACUUUACAGCUGUGCUUCAGGAAGCUACCAAACAUACCAAAAUGGUGGUCUUUAACCCACAACACAAAUUGGUUUGUGUGUGCCCAAAAAGAUGAAACCCCAGUCAAACUUGAAAACAUUAUCCUAAGUCCCUCAAGACAACAUCAAGGCGAAGAUGACGUUCUGGUAAACGAAAGGUCAAGGUUAACAUGUGUGCGUAAGUUGGCCUUCUGUUUCGACAAGCAGCAUCACGAGGAUGUGCAGACCAGGUCGAUAGAGGAGAUCGUUGCCGAUGCCAGGGAGCAUCAGAAAGUGAAUAUCGUAGUGAGGAUCAUGGACGAGAGAGGGAAGAGCAGCAAUGCAACAAAGACGCACAAGGCACUGAAGAGAACAACGUAUGCCGUCUCUGAUAAAACUGGCUCAAUUUUGCUAACAGUGUGGGGCAAUGACACACCAAAUAUGUUCAAGUGGUAUCAGUUCACCAACGUCACGGUGCGUUUUUUUGACACCAAAUUAGUGCUUACCACCACCACUGACAGUGUUCACCCUUGCUGAGGAUGCAGGACCAGCCUUACCCGCCAUAGAUGAUGAUGCUACUACAGUCAUAGGCAACUGAUUGUCAAAGAAAGUGGCUGUGACAAUCAGCCACUUGUGUCCCAAGCGCCAUCCACUUGCUAAUGUAAACAUGGCCACUUUGAUGACAAAGUGUGAUGAGUGCAAUGCCUACUGCAAGAACGCAAGGCUACCAAAUGUAAUGAUGGGGAAAAUAGUUGUUGAAAGUGAAGACCAAAACCCCAUUGAAUUCACAAUGGAUGAUUCCCUGAUCCGCUCACUGGUCACCAUCAACACCAGUGUAAUCCAAAAACAAGAAUACAUUAUCAACGAAAUCAUGCAACACGACAUCGCUGAAAUUAGAGCUCAAGGGAGACGAGCAAUGGCCAUUACUUUCCACGAGGAGAAAGGUCCCAAUGUUCACCCAGAACAUAAAAUGCCAUCCAGCUGUGAAGACGACCCAGCAGACCUUCUGGCACUCCAUGAAGAUGAUGAUGCCAGAAGUUCUCCUUUUGCCUCAUCUCUGGAAAUGAUGGUCGACUCCUGUGAAAGCCUGACUACAACAACAGAUGAGAAACUGUCUCGCACCUCAAAGAACAAACUUUCACGUAAAAAGUAAUACCACUAACAAUAUUAAACUUUCAAUGUAUAGCUUACACUACACUUGGUUUUUCAAUGCCAUAUUAACCUAUGUUCAGGUUUUGGUUACAUUUUGGCUAGAACCUCAAGGCUUUUUUUUCAUAUCCUUUACUUGAUCACUGUUACCUUUUUGUUGAAGACCAAACUCGCACAUAAGAAAAAUCACCUAAGGUCUUUAACUGAAACUCAGGAUAAAUAUUUUUAAAUCAUUGUUAUUGUUCAAAGCCAAUAUUAUUUAUAUUUUUAUAUAUAGAAGUUUUUGAUAACAUAUUGGCUAAAGCCUCAUUUUGUAACUUUUGACAAGUUUAUUGAGUGACAAGAGGGACAAU